UUUAUAGGAAGAAGGACAAAGAACUCAGAGAGGUUAGGUAAUUGGAGUUGUAACUUACCCCUUACUCUUCUCUUUCUUCCAAUCUUAAAGCAGUCCUUGCCCUAUCAGUCAGUACUCAGUUCUCCAUGGUUUCGGAAGAAUGUAUCUUGCUACUUAGCUACCAUAGACUUAAGCAGAGCCACUCUGUACAGUUGUUUUUGGAUCUCUGGAAAGUUCUUACACAGUGUGAGGAGAAUUAGUUUAACCUGAGCUCAACAAAACUUACAGGUUUACUAAUUGUUCUUCAGGACUCAGAUGUUAGUCUUUGGUCAGGCCAAACCAAAAGUUGUUUAGACGCUAGUUAUCACAUUCUUUCUUUUUCUUCCUUUUGGUGCCUGUUGAAAGAAAGCCCGUCUUUCCAGAAAAUGACCCCUUACCCCUCAGUCCUCCCUUUACAUGGCACAUUAGUUUUACUCUUGAAAGAUGAACUUUAAGCAGAAAUUCCCGGCUGUGACUUUUCUUUGGCUUCCCGUGUUUGACAGGAGGUACAUAGACUGAAAAUGCCAGCUCCCGGACAUGAAGGUGCUCCGCAGGAUUCCCUGUGGGAUCCUCUUUUCUGCUGAAAGACUGCAUGUUCUCUGAUCCAGAGGAUCAAAAAGGAAAAACAAUUUGGCCUCAGAUGAUAUUUACCCCAAGUGGCUGGCCGAGAACAAAGAAGAGGCAGUGUUUCCAUCUUAUUGAGGUGAGAAGCUACUGGAUCUUCUGGCUUUUCAGCAUGCAGAUGACCAUUGUGGAUUCUUCCACUAUAAUUUGAGGAGAGGCCAUUGAAGACUCUUCUGCUUCUGAUCCUAAGGAUGCAUUCUCAUCAGCUGUCUGUUCCAGAGCAAGCUGCUGGCCUUAGGCAAUGCCUGUGGAUAUCAAACAAUGCCAGUGAGGGGGGUAAGGCUGCAUGCCAGGGUGGCACAGGAGGAAGUUCCCUGAGGCUGCGGGAGCCGUGAUACACCCUGUAGUCUCACUUCUGUCAGUAAUGAAUGUGUGCCUGUCUCCAUCAGGCUCUGGUUUGUGUCAGUCUCACUGUUGGUUCUGAGCCCAGCCAGGGCAGAAUGCUGUUAUUUAUGACCC
rnacentral:lncRNA from 1 species